rnacentral:rRNA from 1 species
AGAGUUUGAUCCUGGCUCAGGAUGAACGCUAGCGACAGGCUUAACACAUGCAAGUCGAGGGGCAGCACAGGUAGCAAUACCGGGUGGCGACCGGCGCACGGGUGAGUAACGCGUAUGCAACUUACCUAUCAGAGGGGGAUAACCCGGCGAAAGUCGGACUAAUACCGCAUGAAGCAGGGGCCCCGCAUGGGGAUAUUUGCUAAAGAUUCAUCGCUGAUAGAUAGGCAUGCGUUCCAUUAGGCAGUUGGCGGGGUAACGGCCCACCAAACCGACGAUGGAUAGGGGUUCUGAGAGGAAGGUCCCCCACAUUGGUACUGAGACACGGACCAAACUCCUACGGGAGGCAGCAGUGAGGAAUAUUGGUCAAUGGGCGCGAGCCUGAACCAGCCAAGUCGCGUGAGGGAUGAAGGUUCUAUGGAUCGUAAACCUCUUUUAUAAGGGAAUAAAGUGCGGGACGUGUCCUGUUUUGUAUGUACCUUAUGAAUAAGGAUCGGCUAACUCCGUGCCAGCAGCCGCGGUAAUACGGAGGAUCCGAGCGUUAUCCGGAUUUAUUGGGUUUAAAGGGAGCGUAGGCGGGUUGUUAAGUCAGUUGUGAAAGUUUGCGGCUCAACCGUAAAAUUGCAGUUGAUACUGGCGACCUUGAGUGCAACAGAGGUAGGCGGAAUUCGUGGUGUAGCGGUGAAAUGCUUAGAUAUCACGAAGAACUCCGAUUGCGAAGGCAGCUUACUGGAUUGUAACUGACGCUGAUGCUCGAAAGUGUGGGUAUCAAACAGGAUUAGAUACCCUGGUAGUCCACACAGUAAACGAUGAAUACUCGCUGUUUGCGAUAUACAGUAAGCGGCCAAGCGAAAGCAUUAAGUAUUCCACCUGGGGAGUACGCCGGCAACGGUGAAACUCAAAGGAAUUGACGGGGGCCCGCACAAGCGGAGGAACAUGUGGUUUAA